rnacentral:lncRNA from 1 species
AGAGUAUCAUAAAAUAGCUGACCAACAUUUCAACUUUCUAACACAGACUGUAAAACUGCUUUCCAUGUACAUGUAACAGUACAUGUUUUCCAUGCACUUGACCCUUGGGAUCUAGGUAUGGGCUUAGAAUAAGCCAAAGGACUUCUUAGUUAAUUAUCUCUUUCUAGUGAUGGAUGAGAAUCAGAUGCCUUGUAAUAAUGCUGCUAUUAUUAGCUUGAUUGGCUGCCUUUGAUACUGUCACAGAAGCAUACAGGUUAUCUCUAAUCUGAUUUAUCUUGUCCAGAAAAUAAAUUGACUUCCUUAGAGUAGGAAGGCCUCAGAGUUGAGUCACCUACACACCUCAGCAAGCAGCAAUAGGGCCUGUCCUUCAAGUGAGAAAUCGAGCUCCAGUAGUAAAGCUGUUCAUUCUUUCAGUUCUUCCCACAGAUGGCAGGAAGGAUGGAGGUGGGGAGAGAUGUUUCUGCUGGUCGUCACAGACAUGGUCCUUUCUUCCACAAGAGGUUUCACAGUACCAGUGAAAGUGGCUGGUUUGUGAUGAGGCUUCAGCAGGACACAUGAAUGCCAAUGGUUUUUGCAUCCUGACUCACCUCAUCAGACUUGCACAGUGCAGCUCAGGACAACUGUCCAUGCCUUACUGAAAUACAGAUGCAGGUGAAAAUGAGACAUCCACCAUUCAAGUAAAACUAAAGAAGUCACAGUGGACUGGUGGAAAACAGCCAGAAGUAGCUGUACGCCUCCAAGAAAAGGGACUGAAUCAGUGAGUUAAUUUUAGCCUUCGUAUUACAGCGACAGCCUGGUCAGCUUUUCUUACCAUCUGUAUUUUGAACACAGACCUUCUCAUCAUUACCUAUGCUUUCAUCACCUCAAGACUGAGGUGAUUAACAUCACAUCUCAGAUGGGACUCCAUCUGAGAAUCAUCAAAUGAUUGAAUCAGUUAGAUACUGCACUGCCGUGUACUGAUGCCGGUGCUCAAAAUACAGGCUCAGACUACACUCAAGCAC